rnacentral:rRNA from 1 species
GGCGGCGUGCUUAACACAUGCAAGUCGAACGGUAAGGCCCUUCGGGGUACACGAGUGGCGAACGGGUGAGUAACACGUGGGUGAUCUGCCCUGCACUUCGGGAUAAGCCUGGGAAACUGGGUCUAAUACCGGAUAGGACCAUGGACUUCACGGUUUGUGGUGGAAAGCUUUUGCGGUGUGGGAUGGGCCCGCGGCCUAUCAGCUUGUUGGUGGGGUAAUGGCCUACCAAGGCGACGACGGUAGCCGGCCUGAGAGGGUGUCCGGCCACACUGGGACCUGAGAUACGGCCCAGACUCCUACGGGAGGCAGCAGUGGGGAAUAUUGCACAAUGGGCGCAAGCCUGAUGCAGCGACGCCGCGUGAGGGAUGACGGCCUUCGGGUUGUAAACCUCUUUCAAUAGGGACGAAGCGCAUGUGACGGUACCUAUAGAAGAAGCACCGGCCAACUACGUG